CCCUUAGAUGUUCUGGGCCGCACGCGCGCUACACUGAUGAAUUCAACGAGCUCCUAACCUAGGCCGAAGGGUCCGGGUAAUCUUUGAAAUUUCAUCGUGAUGGGGAUAGAUUAUUGCAAUUAUUAAUCUUCAACGAGGAAUUCCUAGUAAGUGCGAGUCAUCAGCUCGCGUUGAUUACGUCCCUGCCCUUUGUACACACCGCCCGUCGCUCCUACCGAUUGAAUGGUCCGGUGAAAUGUUCGGAUCGCGGCAAAUCGGACGGGUAACCGUCAGGUUCGCUGCGAGAAGUUCAUUAAACCUUAUCAUUUAGAGGAAGGAGAAGUCGUAACA
rnacentral:rRNA from 1 species